rnacentral:rRNA from 1 species
CGGGAAACCGGAGCUAAUACCGGAUAAUAUUUUGAACCGCAUGGUUCAAAAGUGAAAGACGGUCUUGCUGUCACUUAUAGAUGGAUCCGCGCUGCAUUAGCUAGUUGGUAAGGUAACGGCUUACCAAGGCAACGAUGCAUAGCCGACCUGAGAGGGUGAUCGGCCACACUGGAACUGAGACACGGUCCAGACUCCUACGGGAGGCAGCAGUAGGGAAUCUUCCGCAAUGGGCGAAAGCCUGACGGAGCAACGCCGCGUGAGUGAUGAAGGUCUUCGGAUCGUAAAACUCUGUUAUUAGGGAAGAACAUAUGUGUAAGUAACUGUGCACAUCUUGACGGUACCUAAUCAGAAAGCCACGGCUAACUACGUGCCAGCAGCCGCGGUAAUACGUAGGUGGCAAGCGUUAUCCGGAAUUAUUGGGCGUAAAGCGCGCGUAGGCGGUUUUUUAAGUCUGAUGUGAAAGCCCACGGCUCAACCGUGGAGGGUCAUUGGAAACUGGAAAACUUGAGUGCAGAAGAGGAAAGUGGAAUUCCAUGUGUAGCGGUGAAAUGCGCAGAGAUAUGGAGGAACACCAGUGGCGAAGGCGACUUUCUGGUCUGUAACUGACGCUGAUGUGCGAAAGCGUGGGGAUCAAACAGGAUUAGAUACCCUGGUAGUCCACGCCGUAAACGAUGAGUGCUAAGUGUUAGGGGGUUUCCGCCCCUUAGUGCUGCAGCUAACGCAUUAAGCACUCCGCCUGGGGAGUACGACCGCAAGGUUGAAACUCAAAGGAAUUGACGGGGACCCGCACAAGCGGUGGAGCAUGUGGUUUAAUUCGAAGCAACGCGAAGAACCUUACCAAAUCUUGACAUCCUUUGACAACUCUAGAGAUAGAGCCUUCCCCUUCGGGGGACAAAGUGACAGGUGGUGCAUGGUUGUCGUCAGCUCGUGUCGUGAGAUGUUGGGUUAAGUCCCGCAACGAGCGCAACCCUUAAGCUUAGUUGCCAUCAUUAAGUUGGGCACUCUAAGUUGACUGCCGGUGACAAACCGGAGGAAGGUGGGGAUGACGUCAAAUCAUCAUGCCCCUUAUGAUUUGGGCUACACACGUGC